rnacentral:lncRNA from 1 species
CAUCAUUUUUUUAAUCAAAUUUGUAAGGUCUUAUCCCCCAGUCCUGCAAUCCGACAACAAAAGCAAAGGCAUGGAGAAUAGUCAUAUGAUAACAAAAAUGAUGAGAAAUAAAGGAAAAGUCGCAUGCCCAUCUCCCAAUAAAAAUGGCACUUUUGAAUAACUUUACGUGUUCUCAUUUGUGUUAUUUCAAACUCUCAGAUUUUGGUAGACCUCAUCUUCUUCAUGAAAUCAAGAAGCUUUAUUGCACCAUUGGAUUGAAGAUGUCCCCGGAUGACAGAUGGACAGUUGGAGUCAGCCAAAGUAGACUUCCCAUUCAAUUAACCAAAUCUUGUUUCUUC